rnacentral:misc_RNA from 1 species
GAUGAAGAACGCAGCGAAAUGCGAUAAGUAAUGUGAAUUGCAGAAUUCAGUGAAUCAUCGAAUCUUUGAACGCACAUUGCGCCCCCUGGUAUUCCGGGGGGCAUGCCUGUUCGAGCGUCAUUUCACCACUCAAGCCUCGCUUGGUAUUGGGCAUCGCGGUCCGCCGCGCGCCUCAAAUCGACCGGCUGGGCCUUCUGUCCCCUAAGCGUUGUGGAAACUAUUCGCUAAAGGGUGUUCGGGAGGCUACGCCGUAAAACAACCCCAUUUCUAAGGUUGACCUCGGAUCAGGUAGGGAUACCCGCUGAACUUAAGCAUAUCAAUAAGCGGAGGA